GACGAACGCUGGCGGCGUGCCUAACACAUGCAAGUCGAACGGAAAGGCCCUGCUUUUGUGGGGUGCUCGAGUGGCGAACGGGUGAGUAACACGUGAGUAUCCUGUCCCUGACUUUGGGAUAACUUCAGGAAACUGGGGCUAUUACCGCCUAGGAGCUCUUGCUGCAUGGUGGGCGUUGGAAAGUUUCGGCGGUUGGGGAUGGACUCGCGGCUUAUCCGCUUGUUGGUGGGGUAGGGGCUUACCAAGGCUAUGAGGGGUAGCCGGCCUGAGAGGGGGACCGGCCACAUUAGGACUGAGAUACGGCCCAGACUCGAACGGGAGGCAACGGUGGAGAGUAUUACAGAGUAGGCGGAAGCCAGAUGUGACAGCGCCGCGUGCGGGAAGACGGGCUUCGGGUUGUGAACCGAUGUCGCAUGAGACGAGGCGUGAGUGACGGUAAUGGGUAAAGAAGCACCGGCUAACUACGUG
rnacentral:rRNA from 1 species